GGCCACAUCAAGUUUAACUUCUUCAACCACCCCCACCCCACCCCCCACCCCCAAGCAUAUUGUGAUGAGAUGUUGAGGGGAAUGCUGUCUGGUUCGAGACCAUUCUAGCUUCGAUUUCUGCACACAUUAAUUCUGUCGAAUGAUCUCGGACCAGGCUUCAUUCCCCUCAGCUCUUCUGAAACUUAAAACUAUGAUGUUUUUGGAGAAACAGAUUUUUCUGAUUUUUUUUUUUUUUUGUUAUCAAUUUGUUCAAAAGAUUUGCUGUUGGAGCUCAAGCUACUCUGGGAAUUAUAAGGGGAAGGAGAUGGUGUGAAAAUGUGACUAAUUAGGUUAGGUUUUGACACUUUUUUUGUGGUUGAUUCUCUCUAUUGGACUUUGCUUGUAGAUAUUGGCAAGGAAUAUAAAUGUGUAACUUUAUUACUUUAGUUUGUUAAAUUAUUUUUUUUAACUGUAUUUACACCUUAUUGACAGCCAUGAUAGCAUUCCUUUGUUAUUGGAGCUUUUACUAUUAUAAAGUGAGUUUGUAGAGAUUUUA